rnacentral:misc_RNA from 1 species
CAGGCCCUUGGCGUCAAAACGCAUCCGGUCGCGAUGUCCACGGCCGAGCAGGCGUACGCACAGAUGGUGCCGAAGAAGCGCUACAAGUUCUACUCGUCAGAAUCGCGCGCGGCCGCCGAACAACUGCAGGCGCGCGCGCAGGCCGCCCAGACCGGUCAGCGCCUGCCCGCGGGAGCCGCCACCGAAGUGUCACUCUUCAUCGACGGCGUCCGCUCGAUCUACGACAUCUAUCAGGGCGUUCGCGCCGAGUUGGGACAGGUGACGACAAGCAGCAACGAAAUGAAGUUCGCGUAUGUGGUGACGCCGUCAUCUCCGGAUGUCGAGAUCGAAGCGGUGGCUGC